AUGGGUCAUCGCCGAUGGCUACCACAGAAUCAUGUAUUUCGGAGACGAAAGAAGGAGUUUGAUAACACCGAAGAGAUGGAACUUGCACCUAUAACAAUGAGUGGUAGCUCAGCUUUGAGGAUGUUGCAGGGCAGAGUGUUUGUCUUAGGAAAAAAGGUUGUUGUGGCAAAGAAAGGGAAAGGGAAAAAGAAGGGCAAAGACAUUGAAAAAGGAACUGAAGGUCCUGAAAAACAGAAGCGUAAAAGAGCGCCUAACAAGAAAUCAGGUAACGUCGCACGUAAACCUGAAAAGAAGCCUGAGGAUUGUUUCAAAAAGAAGUCGAUAUUCUUUGAUUUGGAAUACUGGGAGCACAACAAGUUAAGGCACAAUCUAGAUGUCAUGCAUAUUGAGAAAAAUGUCUUUGAAAAUUUAAUUGGAACCUUACUGGAUAUUGAUUCUAAAACAAAGGAUGGCCUUAAUGCACGACUUGACUUGGGAGAAAUUGGAAUUCGAUCUAGCCUUCAACCUCAUGAAGGUGAUAAGGGUAAAACUGAAUUGCCGCAUGCACCUUUUAAUAUGUAUAAAGAAAAGAAGGAGAUUCUUUGUACAGUGAUUAAGAAUUGUAGGACACCUGAUGGUUGUGCAUCAAACUUUUCAAGGUGUGUGAACAUGAAAGAAUUGACAUUGACUGGCCUCAAAAGCCACGACUGCCAUGUUAUUCUACAAGACAUCCUUCCUGUGGCACUUUUACACUGUUAUCCCAGUAAAGAUGUCAUGAUAUUAGUUGUUGAGCUGGCUAAUUUCUUCAAGAAACUAUGCUCCAAAGUGUUAGAUUUCUCUGAGCUUGACAAACUGCAAGAGAGUAUUGUGAAGACACUUUGUAAUAUGGAAAAGGUUUUUCUUCCAUCGUUUUUUACUGUCAUGGUACAUUUAAUGGUGCAUUUAGUUGAAGAAGCUAAACUUGGUGGCCCGGUGCAUUACAGGUGGAUGUACCCUCUAGAGAGAUCAUUUGUUUGGCUAAAGUCACUUGUGCGCAAUAGAGCUUAUCCUGAAGGUUCUAUUGCUGAAGGAUAUACUGUUGAAGAAUGCUUGACCUUUUGUUCAAGAUUUCUAGAAGGAACCACACGUUUCACAAGAACAUCUAGGAACCCUGAUCCUUCAGAUAAUACAAAGGGCAUGUACAUGUUUGAUAGUGUUGGUGAGCCAAUUGGAAAGGCUGUCACUAUAGGCCAAUUGGACGAUCAGCUUCUAGUUCAAGCACAUCGAUGUGUCUUGCGACACUCUGAUGAGCUUGAUGAUCUCCGUAGAGAAUUUGUGGACCAAGAGAAGAGGAAACCGGGUAACUUAAAUUUGACGGACGAUGACAAUGAGGAUUUGAUUAGUAGACACUUUGCUGACUGGUUGGAACAAAAGGUUAUACUAGAUGAUGGAUCGGAUAUCACAGAAAAGAUAAGAGCAUUAGCCGCAAAACCAAGCAAAUGCGGGGUGCGCUAUAGUGGCUAUAUAAUUAAUGGUUUCAGGUUUCAUACUAUCAGUCGCGAGACAGGACGCGUGACACAAAAUAGUGGUGUCGUGAACCUUGCUGAAAAUGGUGUGUCCUAUUAUGGUCGGUUAUCUGACAUCUUUGAAUUGUCAUACAAAGAUUACAAGGUGGUUUUCUUUAAAUGUGAUUGGUAUGAUGUUCAUCACAAAGCUGGUAUUAUAAGAGAUGAGUUUGGAUUCACUCAUGUGAACUUCUCCCGAAAAAUACAUACAGGGGAGAAGUUAGAGGAUGAUCCUUUUGUAUUUUCUUCCCAAGUGGACCAGGUCUUCUAUAUUCAAAAUCCGAGAAGUGAGAAUUGGAAUACCAUGGUGAAAUUCAAACCUCGUGAUAUUUUUGACAUGGGUGGAGAACCAUCUUCAGAUGAAACAGAGUAG
rnacentral:rRNA from 1 species